GAUGAACGCUGGCGGCGUGCAUAACACAUUCAAGUCGAACGGUGACGAGGGACUUCGGUCCUCUGAUCAGUGGCGGACGGGUGAGUAACGCGUGAGCAACCUGCCCUAUAUUGCGGGAUAACAACCGGAAACAGUUGCUAAUACCGCAUGACGUAUUCGGAUCGCAUGUUCUGAAUACCAAAGAAUUUUGAUAUAGGAUGGGCUCGCGUCCGAUUAGGCAGUUGGUGGGGUAACGGCCCACCAAACCGACGAUCGGUAGCCGAACUGAGAGGUUGAACGGCCACAUUGGAACUGAGAUACGGUCCAGACUCCUACGGGAGGCAGCAGUGGGGAAUAUUGGGCAAUGGGCGAAAGCCUGACCCAGCGACGCCGCGUGAGGGAAGAAGGUCUUCGGAUUGUAAACCUCUUUCAGCAGGGAAGAAGCAAGUGACGGUACCUGCAGAAGAAGUCACGGCUAACUACGUG
rnacentral:rRNA from 1 species